UACAGAGGGGGCAAGCGUUGUUCGGAAUUACUGGGCGUAAAGGGCGCGUAGGCGGCCUUCUAAGUCGAACGUGAAAUCCCCGGGCUCAACCCGGGAACUGCGUCCGAUACUGGAAGGCUUGAAUCCGGGAGAGGGAUGUGGAAUUCCAGGUGUAGCGGUGAAAUGCGUAGAUAUCUGGAGGAACACCGGUGGCGAAGGCGACAUCCUGGACCGGUAUUGACGCUGAGGAGCG
rnacentral:rRNA from 1 species